GUAGAAAUAUGUAAUAAUUUACUCAUGCAGUAGGUACAGUUCUUACAGUAACCACUCAGCAGCAAAACUUUUGGAAAGCAGAAACCAUUGAGAAGGAAUCCUAAAUGUUAUCUCUUAUGCAUGCUUGUGAGAGCCAGUGUCAAAAUCUGCAGUGACUGUAAUGCUGUAGGACUUUGCUUAUUACAACCUACUAGAGAACUUUGGAACUCCUCAGAAACAGUUCCUACUGAGAAGACAUCUGCAACGAUAUGCCAAGCCCAAAGGAACCAUGCACCAGGAAAAAUAAGACAAUUAUCUGCUCAUGAAAGAUUUUAUCACAGAAGUCCAGCCUGUAUCCAACCCCCAAACGGAUUUCUCUCUCCCUAUAGGAGUAUAUAUAUAUAUAUAUAUAUAUAUAUAUAUUUACAUAUACACAAAUCUUCAGGAUAUAUGGAUUUCAGAAGGAAAAUAGCUUUUCCAAUGGAACUGUGAAUAAAAACAACAACAAAAAAGAAAUGUGAGAUUUUAUUUAAUAAAUGUAUUUUGAAGAAAUCCUAACAGAGAAAAACACAAGGAAUAGUUACAGACAUAAUGAUUAAAAAUCUAAAAGGUAUAUAUGGAAUGCUAGUAAAAGUCAAAAGUCUGUGUAGAAUAAUAUUUGGAGGUUAUAAAGGCAGACAGUCAAACAAGUAUUUACUAAUUUAGUUACAGUCAGGUUUCUUGCUUUUCAUUCUAGUAAAAAGCUUGUUUAAUAAAUGUGUAUAAAAAAAGAAUGAGAUGAAAUGUUAAGGUAAAAAAUAUUGCAACAAAGAAACUGAUACCCAAGGGAAGGAAGAAUGCAGUAACUGGAAUAAUAAAGAUUUAUUGUGAUGUAUUGUGAUAAGUGAAUAUUACAUUAUUCACUUUCUGUCUCAAGGGAUCUUAGAUAAAUGGAUAUAUAUAGAAUGACCUUUCUGACAUUAAGCAAUUAAAUAAGCAAAAUAAUACUCUCAGAUAACCCCUAGCAAAUCUAGGGAAUAUUAUUGGAUUCUAUGUCGGACUGCUGUGUUGCUAAAUAAAAAAAUAGAAAAGAACAAAACCUACCUGGUUUACAGGGAAACUCAAGAAACAAACCAGAAUGAGCACAAAGUUAGAAAGCUAAAAUAAAACUUGUCCUCUCUUAUAUUUUAUGUUUAAAAUUUUAAAUUAUUUUUGUUUUUAAUUUUGAUUAUUAUUUUUUAUUUUUAUGGUGGGAACUACAGGAAUUUAUUACAUGCUGUGUUGUCUUUAGAAGAAGCAAUAGAAAUUCAGUAAAUGAAACUGAGAUUCCACACAAAUAAAUAAAUAAAAUGCCAAAAAUGACAAAAUGCAGAUGCCCUUUAAGUGACAUAAUAAACUUAAGAUGAAGAAAAAACAUUUUGGCUUAUUUAAUCCUAAAACAUUUGAAGACAUCUGGUCAGGUAAAUUACAUAGUGAUUCCCACAUUUUAUUUCCAUUUUUCUCAUGUACGAGGAUUAGGAAAGUACUUUGGGAUUCAUUUCAAAGAUUUAGACAAUCUGCCAGGUAGACAUUGGAGAUAUCUACAGAUUAGUGAGUUUUCUGUAUCAUUCUGAAAUCUCCUGGAGACAAGAUGAAUUACAGGCUAUUAAGGUCUCUUCUUGGUUCUCAGGAAGAGAGACUAGGAGAGUUAGUUUAGCUGCUAGUUUAGUUACUAGCUGGGUAAUUUCAUUUGCUUAGUCUAGGACUACAUGAGCACCACCUCUUAUGCCACAAACAACCAAAAAUUAAACACACAUAGGAAAGGACUUCUCAUACUAUACUUGUCCUGAAUUGUAAUGCAGAAAUGAUGUAGAGAAAUGAUAUUACAGACAUUUCACUAUUAGAUUGCCCCUAUACAUCCAGCUGCAAAAAAAAAAAAAAAAAAAAAAAAAAAGGAAAACUAGCUCCAGCCCUGAGAAGGACUUAGGACUUGGGGCUCUUGGUUGAUGAGAAGCUCAACAUAAGCUGUCACUGUGCACUUGCAGACCAGAAAGCCAACUGUAUCCUGGGCUGCAUUAAAAGAAGCAUUACCAGCAGGUCAAGGGAUGUGAUUAUGUCCUUCUACUACACCCUAGUGAGACCCAAUCUGUAGUACUGUAUUCAGCUCUGGAGCCCCCAGUGAAAGAAAGGCAUAUUAGAGCAAGUUCAGAGAAGGGCCACGAGGAUGAUAAAAGGGCUGGAGCACCUCUACUAUGAAGACAGGUUGAGAGAGCCAGGCCUUUCCAGCCUGGAGAAGUGAAAGCUCCUGGGAGACCCCAUCACAGUCUUCCAGUACAUAAAUGAGGCUGACAAAAAAGCUGGACUUUAUCGGGGUAGGACAAGGAAUAAUGGUUUUAAACUAGAAGAGGGUAGAUUUAUAUUAGAUAUUAUGAAGAAAGCCUUUAUGCAGAAGGUAGUAAGGCACUGGAACUGGAAGAGGUUGCUCAGAGAACUUGUGGAUGCCCCAUCCCUGGAAGUGUUAAAGGCCAUGUUGGAUAGGGCUUUGAGCAACCUUACCUACUGGGUGGCAUCCUUGCCCAUUGCAGGAGGGUUGGAACUAUUUGAUCUUUAAGGUCCCUUCCAACCCAAGCCCUUCUAUGAAAAAGAAAAUUUGUGGAGUAGUAGUCACAAUGGCAUACAGAUAAAUAUGAAUCACUUUUCAUAUCAACUUUGCUGCAAGACUAUUUUUUUUCCCUACAGGGGAUGAAUGGUUGUAUUCCCUGACAUUCCCUGUAUUUUAUUUUUUUUUCCUUGUUUAUUUUAUCUGUUUUGUUUGUCAGUCUCAAUCUUUUGUGUCUUUUCAUCACUAGCAAAACUGAAAGAAUUGACCUUCCUAUUAUAAAGAAUAAGCUCAUUUCCUCUUAGUAUUAAAUUAUACGCUGAAUGCAUUGAACUUUUGCCACAUAA